UACGUAGGCAGCAAACGUUGUUCGGAGUUACUGGGCGUAAAGAGUGCGUAGGCGGUCUGCCAAGUCUGGUGUGAAAUCUCCCGGCUUAACUGGGAGGGUGCGCCGGAUACUGGCAGGCUAGAGUGUGGGAGAGGGAAGUGGAAUUCCUGGUGUAGCGGUGAAAUGCGUAGAUAUCAGGAGGAACACCGGUGGUGUAGACGGCUUCCUGGACCACAACUGACGCUGAGGCACGAAAGCGUGGGUAGCAAACAGG
rnacentral:rRNA from 1 species